GAAUUCUAUGAAACGUUGUUCAACUUCUUUACCACCAGAGGAUGGUCCAACAUCACCGAAAAAGAGAAAUCUCUGCACUGAAAGUUUACACCGCGGGAUAAAAACUGCUCCAUCAACAAACCCAGAAAGGACAAAAGGCCAGAAGAAUAAUGUUGCAUGGAAUUUCAUCAAUGAAAAUAAUUAUAGAGUCUGUAUUGAGAAGUCUG